UUUGUGAGAAAUCGACCCGCGGUCUUUCUUCUAUCUUAUCCAGACGUUCCUUUCCAGCGCGGCGGGGCGGCGCCCUUCACCGCGGCGACAGCUCCAGGUGGGCUCGCGGGAGACGGCGCUGGGCUUGGGAGAUGCGGCUGCGAGGGCUCCGCAUCAGGCAGCGACAGCGAGGCGGGGAUGCGGCGCUGCGCUUCCGGGAUGCAGCGGCGAGGCGUCGAGGCAGCGCUGCGCUCGGGCGCCACAUCAGGCGGCAGCAGCGAGGCGGGAGGCGCACACGGAGAUGAAGGAGGGGAAAAUGGAGAGUCGGCCGGGGCGAGGAGUUCGCCGACGUCGAAGCCACGGACCCCGGCGCUGCAAGCUUGCAGGGGGCGGUGGCCAUGGCCGGGAGGCGGCGCUGAGUUCGGGCGCCGCAUGCCUCCUCUGUCGCUCCUUGUUUCUUUAUUCCCCAACUCCUCUCUUGCACGUCGUCAUCUUGCCGCCCACGCAGCAAAGAGAUCGAGGAAGAGGCGAGAGUCGGGUCAAUAGAUAUGUCGCACGAGGGUGCGGCACUCCCUGUUCCAUCUAGAUCAACAAACGCAGAGGGAGGUGGAAGAAGAGCCACGACCUGCGAGCAGGAGGCUGCCGCCUAGCACGCAUCUGACUGCGGCUAUUUUAUCCAUGAGCGGGAGGUUAAGAGAAGCACAUCUCUGAAAUUCACAGUUUUGAACCCAAAGAGACGCAUCUAGACAAUGGUUGCAUCAGUGGUUCCAGUGUCAUAUACGCCAACAUGGUGGCCAAUCUUAUUGAGAAGAAUGACACAACAGCAGGCAGUGGAUCAGAGCCCAAACUCUCACUUGUUAGGAUAAAGGUGGACUACUCUGUGUUCUUAACAAUACACCCCCAACGGUUUGGUCAAAAGUAUGUUGAGAAGGUUGCCAAUCCACAAGUCAUUGUUGUUUUCUGAAGAUCAGCAAAAUGGCGCCAAAAUAUGCACGACAAUGCUUGAGGUUCCGGAGAACUCUACCCAAAUGAGCUUAAUCAACACACUGUCGAAGCUCUGGUUCCGGAAAGUAACUUGAAUAUGCAGGUUCUUCCACUGGACAACCUGGACACUGCCAUUCAUGUUUUCGUCAACAAGGCAGACAAUAUGGCAUUUCACUCUUGCCUGCAGAAGAACACCGAAGAGGCAAUAAACGAGUUGACCAUCACCAAGGUAGAUACUGCCGUCGAAGAUGAAGAUGCAAUGGUGUCAUUGUGACAGGUGAAGAAAAAGUAUGUCUUAUGUUUACUUGAUUCCGUAGAUUAAUAUCUCUUUUGGUUGGCAAGAAUGACCUGGACACUGCCCUUCAUGUUUUCGUCAACAAGGCAGACAAUAUGGCAUUUCACUCUUGCCUGAAGAAGAACACCGAAGAGGCAAUAGUAGGCAAAACUACCAAUAUAUUAGACUCCACUCUACCGAUUGAGAACUGAAAAGAAAUUUCUCCACCUGAAUUCAAAGAACAAGUUGACCAUCACCAAGGUAGAUACUGCUGUCGAAGAUGAAGAUGCAAUGGUGUCAUUGUGACAGAAAUCCUCACCUUGAAGAAUGAAGCCAAUGGUGAACAAGGAUGUUCUUUCUACCAAAGAACCAGGCCAUGCCGAGGUAGUGGUGUGGUUCGGAUGAUGGUGGUGAGGCUAAAAUAUGGGAGAUGACUUGGAGUUAUUUUAAGCAUGAGUUGUGUACUGGUGUGGUUCCUUAAGUCACCCCUUUCAGGUCAAACCCCUCUAUGUUAUCGAUCACCUUUUUCAUUUUGUGUUCAGUGAUGUGGAAUUUAGUACACUAUUUUUUGCCACUAAUGACCAAUCUAUAAAAUAAAGCAAACUACAGUGUCAGCUACAAGGUACUAUAUGCAGUCUGGUUUAUCGAUCAUUCGACUACUUCACAAGGGAAAAGUGCUAACUGCCAACUGACAAGAUCAAUAGUAGAAUAAAGGGAUGGAAGGAAAAAUAAGUGUCUCCAAUUUCCUUGGUGGUGUGUGCAAACUUUGAAGGCUGUAUUGUGAUGAAUAAUGGAGCGUGUUCCACUUACCCUUGUUCGACCCAUUCCAAUCUUGGUGGGCAAGUACUUGCGAUGACGGCUAUCCGCACAGACAAGCCAAGGCAUCCCUCACCAUGCUUGUUUCAUGGACAAUUUGGAAUGAGCGAAACGCACGAGUUUUCAGGCAUAAGUGUGCCCCUCCGACGGUGCUGUUUUCCUCCAUCGCCAUCGAGGCUAACCUUUGGAUCAUCGCCGGUGCUAAAAAAUUAGGGUCUUUGUUAUUGCACAAGUAAUCCGCAUGCCAUGUACUCGAGUUGUUUAUAACUAAU